rnacentral:pre_miRNA from 1 species
AGGUAAGGGAAUCUAUAGCUUUAAGUAGGGGGUCAAUUUACAAGAAAUGAAUCCUAGGUAGCUUUCCCUUCAUUUCAAGUGUCUUAU